GAUUAACGCUGGCGGCGUGCAUAACACAUGCAAGUCGAACGAUGAAACUUUAAUGAACCCUUCGGGGAGAAUUAAAGCGGAUUAGGCGAACGGGUGAGUAACGCGCGAGUAACCUGCCUUACACAAGGGGAUAGCCUUUGGAAACGAAGAAUAAUACCCUAUAAAACCAUAAAAGCACAUGCAAUUAUGGUCAAAGUGAUAGCGGUGUAAGAUGGACUUGCGUCUGAUUAGCUAGUUGGUGAGAUAAAAGCCCACCAAGGCAACGGUCAGUAGCCGGCUUGAGAGAGUGUACGGCCACAUUGGGACUGAGACACGGCCCAGACUCCUACGGGAGGCAGCAGUGGGGAAUUUUGCACAAUGGGGGAAACCCUGAUGCAGCGACGCCGCGUGAUUUAGAAGGCCUUCGGGUUGUAAAAAUCUUUUGUAUAGGAAGAAAAUGACAGUACUAUACGAAUAAGGUCCGGCUAAUUACGUG
rnacentral:rRNA from 1 species